rnacentral:rRNA from 1 species
UACGUAGGGUGCAAUCGUUGUCCGGAAUUAUUGGGCGUAAAGAGCUCGUAGGCGGUCUGUCGCGUCGGCUGUGAAAACUCGGGGCUCAACUCCGAGCUUGCAGUCGAUACGGGCAGGCUAGAGUUCGGCAGGGGAGACUGGAAUUCCUGGUGUAGCGGUGAAAUGCGCAGAUAUCAGGAGGAACACCGGUGGCGAAGGCGGGUCUCUGGGCCGAUACUGACGCUGAGGAGCGAAAGCGUGGGGAGCGAACAGG